UUUGAUAAGAUCUCAUGGGAUGUAGUUAAUGUCAAGAGUAUGUUGGUCUCAUGAACAGAAAGAUGAAUGAGGACUUCAUUCCCUGCAUCGCAUUAACUGGGGGGGUGAUAUUAAGGCUGGUAGCUGCUGAACAGUAUCUCCAUGGAAAAUACACAGCAGCAAACUGAAAAUGUCAUUAGAUUGUCAAGACGCCUCACUGCAAUGAAAGAUCGAUAAGAAGCAGCAGCAAGUAGGGAUAUUACUGAACUGCAGCUAAAACUCCCAUUGACUUCCUAGGAAUCAUCUUUCCCACCGGAAUUCUGUGUUCUCAUAAAUACUUGCAUCUGCAACAGGAGCAGUAACAUACGCUCUGUCUGCUGGGAAGAUUUGGUAGACAAUGGCUCCAAUGAUGGUACGAAAGU